rnacentral:rRNA from 1 species
GCCUCCCUCCGCCGCCACUCAGACUCCUACGGGACGGCGAGCAGGUGGGGAAGUAGUUAGGACAAGUGGGCGCGAAGCCUGAUCCAGCCAUGCCGCGUGAGUGAUGACGGCCUUAGGGUUGUAAGCUCUUUCGCUAGGGACGAUAAUGACGGUACCUAGACAAGAAGCCCGGCUAACUUCGUGCCAGCAGCCGCGGUAAUAC